rnacentral:rRNA from 1 species
UACAGAGGUCUCAAGCGUUGUUCGGAUUCAUUGGGCGUAAAGGGCGCGUAGGCUGCGGGGCAAGUCGGGUGUGAAAUCUCAGAGCUCAACUCUGAAACUGCACUCGAUACUGCUUUGCUUGAGGACUGGAGAGGAGAUUGGAAUUCACGGUGUAGCAGUGAAAUGCGUAGAUAUCGUGAGGAAGACCAGUGGCGAAGGCGGAUCUCUGGACAGUUCCUGACGCUGAGGCGCGAAGGCCAGGGGAGCAAAACGGG